rnacentral:rRNA from 1 species
UGGGGAAUAUUGGACAAUGGGCGCAAGCCUGAUCCAGCCAUGCCGCGUGAGUGAUGAAGGCCUUAGGGUUGUAAAGCUCUUUCACCGGUGAAGAUAAUGACGGUAACCGGAGAAGAAGCCCCGGCUAACUUCGUGCCAGCAGCCGCGGUAAUACGAAGGGGGCUAGCGUUGUUCGGAAUUACUGGGCGUAAAGCGCACGUAGGCGGACAUUUAAGUCAGGGGUGAAAUCCCCGGGGCUCAACCUCGGAACUGCCUUUGAUACUGGGUGUCUUGAGUAUGGAAGAGGUAAGUGGAAUUGCGAGUGUAGAGGUGAAAUUCGUAGAUAUUCGCAGGAACACCAGUGGCGAAGGCGGCUUACUGGUCCAUUACUGACGCUGAGGUGCGAAAGCGUGGGGGAGCAAAACAGGAUUAGAUACCCUGGUAGUCCACGCCGUAAACGAUGAGUGCUAGCCGUCGGGCAGUUUACUGUUCGGUGGCGCAGCUAACGCAUUAAGCACUCCGCCUGGGGGAGUACGGUCGCAAGAUU